CGGGGCAGAAAAUGUCUGUGCCUACGUUCGAAUCCUUCUAGUUCGUGCACAGCGUACUGACCUCGAACCCACACGGUAUUAGCAAGAUAGACGUGUAUGUGUGUGUGUUGAAGGAGGGUUCGGGUGUAAAGAGUGAUGGUCUGGGGCUGGAUAGGACACCCUGCGCAAACCAGCUGACACCAUUGCCAAGCAGGCACUUGACUGGAACCGUCAUGGGAAAAGGAGAGUUGGGAGACCAAAGCAGACUUGGAAAAGAACAAUAGUGAACGAGGCAAAGGAUGUCGAAACCACAUGGGCACAACUUAGGGUUGCUACCCAAAACCGGGUCCACUGGCAAGGUGUUGUUGCGGUCCUAUGCUCCUCGAGGAUUAACAAGGAAUACACUAAAUUAUGAGUUAUGGUCAAUAUUCGUGUACGAGUUUUAUAUUAUAGCCUUAAUGCAAAUAGAAAUAAUUUCAUAUCAACACAUAAACUUUAGGUGAACAUGUAUUCAAAGCAUAUUUAAAAUUAUAUACAUACAGAGGUACAUAAACACAAUGUUAACAUGCACACAGACAAGCAAUCGGAAAAGUUUCAAAACAAAAACUGGUUAUGCAUGUUUCAUCUCCACUUUAAUCGAUCAUAACCAACAUCUACUUACAAAUAUUGCUUUGUGUAUGUGAAAGGUAGAAAAAGUAUAACAAUUCUGUUUAGUUCCAGUCUUUCACAUGCAACCUCAAAUCACACUUGAAAAAAAAAA